AUGCAGGCAGGAGUCGGUCUACUUGUCUCGGACGUGAUGCCUAUAUACAUGAUCAUACCUAGAUAUUCUCAUAACUAUGCUCAAUUCUGUCAAUUGCUCAAUAGUAAUUCAUUCACCCACCGUAAAAUACCUAUGCUCUUGAGAGAAGCCACUAGUGAAACCUAUGGCCCCGGGUCUAUCUUUAUCAUAUUAAUCUUCCAAUACUUAGUUAUUUUCAUUGCCUUUUAUUUUACUUUGCAUCUUUAUCAUAAAAAUACCAAAAAUAUUAUCUUAUCAUAUCUAUCAGAUCUCACUCUCGUAAGUGACCGUGUAGGGAUUGACAACCCCUUAUCGCGUUGGUUGCGAGGAUUUAUUUGUUUUGUGUAUGUGCGAGGGACUCGCGCGUAG
rnacentral:rRNA from 1 species